GCACACCAUCAGUGCUCUCCAAGAGGAUGUCAGAAUGUUCAAACAUAAACAAUAAAAAUAUAGAAGAAAGAGAAACCAAAAGAGCAGAAGAAAGAACAUUGUAUCAAUAGCGUAAUGAGAACCAGAGAAAGAGAACCACCGCAUAUGUCUAUUCUUCCCUUGACCAUGCUACAAACCACCCCGUCAUUCCAGAAGGAGAUCAAGCAAAGAUUUAAAAUGCAUGCCCUUCUCUUUGCUGAGAUUUUUUUUUCCAUCACAAUUGAAUACUUCUUAAGAAGUUUGCACUAAUAUCUUGAUUACUGUGGUUAUGAUCUAUUUUUGUUCAUCUUUUGUGUGCCUUGAAAUGGGAGAUAUGGGGUUCUAGUCCUGAGUGCUCUAAUAGCAGAAAGAAGGCAAAUAUACAGGUAACAUUUUUUAGUAGUUCCCCUAAAUACUUCCACUUAAAUUUCUUAUAUAUUUAUUUGUUUAUUUAAUUGUUUAUUUGAAGUAACUUCAGAUAGUAGAGAAAAUAAGCAAGGUAGUUUGUCCUUCCAUUCCUAACUGUAAAAUAUAUUUAAACAAUUUUCUGAAGGAAAGAAAGGAUACUAGACUGUAAAGUAAGGUAAACUAUGACCCUCAGGCUAAAUCCAGGCCACAGCUUGUUUUUGGAAAUAAAGUUUAAUUGAACCACA
rnacentral:lncRNA from 1 species